AAAAUUUGGGUAUUCACUAUAACAUGUGACCAUGUCAGCUAAAGCAAAAAAACCUUACAAUCACAGAGAGUGGCUAAGCCUAUAAAGACAGAUUCUUUUUCUAUUUUAUUCAUUUUUUUCAAUUUCUUUUGGCUUUACUUUCUUUUGUCAUUCAACCGCAAUCCUCAAAAUCCAGCCUUUUUCCAGCAAUUACUCAAUUUCUAAAAUCCUUCUAAUUUCCCUUUUUUUUAAAUUUCUUUUUUCAAGCUGUCAUUAUCUAUAGAGGUAAAGUUCAUUUCUUUAGGAAAAAAAAUUAAUAGAAUUUUGCAAAUUGAUAUAUUGUAUGAUUGAUAAUGAUAACAGUAUAGCAGAGGAAUUUACAGUGAAGGAACUCUGCUUUUUUUUUUUGUCUACUUGUCUCUCCUUAUUGAAAGCUUCUACUUUACUUAAAUUUGUCUUUAAAUUUUGAAGCUGUAGACAUUUUCCAUUGAUGAGUAUUUGAGUUUUCUUGCAAAAAAGAAAAAAAAAUGCAGUGCCCCAUAUCAAAAUCAAGCCUUGACAAGCAGUUUUGAGAUUCAAGACAGUUUUUCUUUUAUCAAUUUAAAGCUGCAGUUCGAGCUGGUUUUGCGGACGACAAGUUAUUGACUAGCAGAGCUGAAAUCUCCUCAAAGCAUUAAUGCAUUAGCGGGCUGAAGAGGAUGGUCUAGUCCAAGAUACGGAUGCUGGCUUUUCCUAAGCUGUGGGAAGUGUUUAGUUUCAUGACUUCUUGUUCACGGAAUUAUCGGAUUGAGGUGGUAUUUCAACAACCAAUAAAGGUAAGUCACUUUUGACAUGAACUGGGACACCAUUCAGUAUCUGCAACACUUUCUUGAUAGAUUGCAGAGUGUGAUAGGAAAUUCAGCUUGUUUUUAACACCAUGAAAGCUUUAAACUUUCAGAACUGCUUUACGGAGUUUAAUCUUCCAUUGAACUCAGUGAAGCAUAAUAACAAAUGGAUCUAAAUUUCUCAGUUGAUUUAUAUCCGUAGAACUAGGAAACGAAGGCGAUAUGUUCAACUUUAUCCAUCACCAUAUUCAAAUGUUCAAUUUUUGCAACUCAUCUUCUGCCUGCCUGUAGCAAGAACUUGGGGCUUAUUGAAGUCUUGGAUAUGAGCGGAUUAAGGUUUAGGAUUAGCGAUGCGAUGAUGUUUGAUCCUUGCGAGAGAAUCAAACAAGUUUCUUUUAUGUUUUUUUCUUGGGACUCAAGAUAUCCUACGCUGCCAACAAAGACUUCUCUAACUUCGACUUCCUACAACCUGCACUCAACUUUUGAGGUAUUGUUUGUUUUUGUUUCGUUUUCGAGUUUUGUUCAUAUAUAGCCUCUCUUCACAACCCUAAAAGUCGAUUCUUAAUACAUUUAAGAUAUUUUUGAGUUUUAUCUGGAUUUAAUGUAUCCCAGAACCCUAAAUAUCAUUGUUGAAUUAAUUCCUAAUCUCAAUCCUAGAGAA